rnacentral:lncRNA from 1 species
CGGGUCACAGAGGCGUGGGCGGGGUCUUGGGUCAUGGGCGGGGCCUGAUGCGGUGUGGGCGUGCUCUGAUGUGUGGGCGCGGCCUGGGGCGGCGCGCGGGCGGGUUUUGGGCGGGAACGCGUGAGGAGGCCUCGGGCCGUGCCUGUGAGGGGCCGGGCACGGCGGGAUCGGCCGAACCGUACAUCUCAGGCGGUGCCCGUGAGGGGCCGGGCACGGCCGGACCUGCAUCAUCUUUGGCCGUGCCCGUGAGGGGCUGGGCACGGUGGCACGGCCGGACCUGCAGCAUCUUUGGCCGUGCCCGUGAGGGGCUGGUUGAGGCGGACAUCUCGAGCCGUCCUGAGGUGCUCCCGACGAGCCCUGGGCCGCGCAGGAUGUGUGCAGGAAUCCCAGCUAGUGCAGGCAGGGCUGCCGAGAAUUGGGACUGCAUCACCUGCGUGGGCCAGCACGGACAGACGAGCAGCGAACUCAUGGCUGAGUGCGACAAGGGCGGCCAAAUCACGACUCGAUAUCUGCGGCUUACCCUGUUUUCGAGAAAUAUUCCUCUACAGCCCCACUUGUGCCAGUUUUAUUAGGAGCCUAUGAAAGUGCAGCCAUCACCUGCUAUUUUUCAGGCCGAUUCCUUGUGUUGCUCCAGGCUGUUGGAUUGUUCCAUGGGAUGCCAGUGCAGCACAACAGCUCCUUGAACCACGUGUAAUGCUGUGGGUGAGGACACUGUCACCUUGUUCUUUGUCCUGUAGGAUUCUUGUUUGCUCCUAAGGACACCCAUGUUGAUUUAGCGCUCAGGGAAUGGGAUCCUUGAAGCACUAAUGAGUUUUUCUGAAGCUGCUCCAAAUUUCCAUUCACACUUCAGUUUUCUGCUUCUGUAGUCAGUUCUAUAGUGGGAUAGGGAAAAGAGAUCAAAUUAAGAGGGCAAAGAAUAGCACAAACAUCCAUUCACCACUAAUAUGCAUGACAGCAAGCAUUCUUUGCUGGCUUUGCUCUUUUAUGGAUAAAGUUCUUCACAGCUUGUAGUGAUAUUGCCCAUUGCAAACCAGCACCUGUGAUAUAAAUACACACACACAAAGGAAAAGCUCAGCAAUACUGGUCAGGCAGCACUAAGUGCUUACGUGUGCUCUCAUUUUAAAGAUUUCUGGACCAUGCUCCCAAAUUUUGUUCCUCCCCCAGUGGAAGUUGGAACAGCCACAUCCAUCACACCCUGAUUUGCACACUAACCAAGGAAAGGUUUUUGCUGCAGGUCACUGCUAGUCUGGGAACAGUUUCUCGGAGAAGCUGUGGCUGCGCCAUCCCUGGAAAUGUCCAUGGCCAGGUUGGAUGGGACAUGGAGCAGCCUGGGAUAGUGGAAGGUGUUUUGCCCAUGGCAGGAGGCUGGAAUAAGAUGAGCUUUAAGGUCCCUUCCAGCUCAAAACAUCCUGUGAUUCUGUCACUCCACAGCAUUCCUGGUUUGUCAUGUAUCAUCUGACAAGGAACAUCUCUCCCUGCACAAGCAAUACCAUGGCUUGCCAGGAGGUGUUGCUUUGAAACCAUGUAAAUAUCAUAGCUCAAAAGUCGUGAGAUAAGCUUGUACUAUUGAACAUACUUUGUUCUGGCAGGGAAAAAUCAAGGUUCUACCUCUGAAAUGGC